UUCUAUUUCAAAUUGUUAGAAUUAGGACUUAAUAAAGAAGAAAUUCAUUAAGUAGAAAAAUAUUGCACCGAUCUGAUUUAACUUUAUAAUCGUACUUCAUCCCUCUUUAACCUAUUGUAUUUUUCUUUUUUUAAAAUUUAUUUUUGUUGUUUUAGUGAAUUUUCUGUGGUAAUUUAGAGAAAGAAAAGAUUUUUUUUGGUAAUUUGGUGAGCUUUGGAAGAAAAACAAAAAAAUAAAUAAAUUGUUGAUAUAUUGCAGAGAUUAAUUGUAUUGAGGAUUUUUAUAGUUGUUUAACUAUUUAUUCCAAUAAUUAAUAAAUUUCUCCACAAUUACACUAUUUAUCCUAACAAUUAAUCAGUUGACCAACAACUUAACUCAGUCGUUGAACAACUUAAGUAAUUAUUGGGACAAUUUCUUUAAUCAUUCAACUAUAGAAGUUGUUCCACUAUUGCAUUAGUUGUUCAACUAUUUAAUAUUAGAACUUUAGGUACUUAAAGAUUGAAUUCUUUUUGUUCUGAAUACUAAAUAAUGUAUAACGCGGGACUGGAUUGACUCGGAAUGUUGCUAAUAGAAUUCUUAAGGAGUGAAGAAUACAAUGAGAAGCUAGUCCGAGUCUAUAAAGAUGAAUUGAUAUUUGAGACUGAUCACAAGGUUGAGCAGUGUAGGAUCGACCCUCGAUAUCGCUUUAGGUCAGUGGACGAUGCUGCUGAAUACAUGUGAAUUGUCAUACUAAUUCUUGUCUUUUCUGCACCUUUGUUGUGCAGAUUUUGAGCCGGACACGAGUUACAGGUGAUCAUCGUUCCUUGUUGAUCAUUUGAGAUCGGAGGAAAUGAUGGAGGUGCGAAGCAGCCAUAGAAGUUGAUGAAGCUACACUGAAGCUCUUUCAGGUUUCUCUUAAUCAUUCAGUAAAGCUUUUGGUAAUCCUAUUCACGGAAGCCAGUAUACAAUUUCAAAAAGAGCACAUGGUCUUUAGAGGUACAAAAGACACCGUGUUUGCAAGUUAAAGCAACUAAUUGCAGUCUCUUGAGUUAGAGAAAUACACAUGGUCUUUAGAGGUACAAAAGACACCGUGUUUGAAAGUUAAAGCAACUAAUUGCAGUCUCUUGAGUUAGAGAAAUACUUACUAAAGCCAUCGUUUUUGUGCAAGCACAUCCUUCGACUUAGCAACAGGAGGUCGCCUCCUCCUAGAUUCUGCACUAAUCGAUGAUGCCUGCCUUGGUUUCAAUCUGAAGACUGAAUCCUGUGUCUGAUUCAAUGAUUUCUCCUUCAAGGGGCUUACUGGUCGUGACUUUGGAUGUCUGUCUGUUGGUUUCACUAAUAAAGGUAAGCUUUCGACCUGCUCCUGUUUCUGGUUUUCCCUUAAAGUAUUUUUACCAUGAUAAAUGCUGAUGUCUUGACUAGCAAAAAGAGGUUGAGCUAUUCUCCCAGGGGAGCUAUCUGAAUCUGAAGAUGAAGGGCUAGUAGUACUGUCCAUAUCAUAAAGGAUGUUGUCUGUCAAUGGAGGAAGCAGCACCCCCUUUGAGCUUCUUGAAGAGAAAGAUGGUCUUCUAAGUCUUGUUAGAUUCACAACCUGUUAAAAGCCAAAUUCAAAUCAUAAACCAAAAAUGGUUCACGCUUCGUGCAGGCCUAAUAAAUCAAAUUACUAGUCGAAUAAGUCAAAAUAAAUUUUAGUUUGGAACAUUAAGUUUAAGCAUUCUGUUUUCAAGAAUUCAAAUAUGCUCAAGCAAAUAUAUUGUCAAGAUUAGACCGUAA